rnacentral:rRNA from 1 species
UACAGAGGUCUCAAGCGUUGUUCGGAUUUAUUGGGCGUAAAGGGUGCGUAGGUGGCGUCGUAAGUCGGGUGUGAAAUUUCGGAGCUUAACUCCGAAACUGCAUUCGAUACUGCGGUGCUUGAGGACUGGAGAGGAGACUGGAAUUUACGGUGUAGCAGUGAAAUGCGUAGAGAUCGUAAGGAAGACCAGUGGCGAAGGCGGGUCUCUGGACAGUUCCUGACACUGAGGCACGAAGGCCAGGGGAGCAAACGGG